rnacentral:rRNA from 1 species
CCUACGGGGGGCAGCAGUGAGGAAUAUUGGUCAAUGGGCGGAAGCCUGAACCAGCCAAGUAGCGUGCGGGAUGAAGGCCCUACGGGUCGUAAACCUCUUUUGCACGGGGAUAACAGCCUCCACUUGUGGAGUUUUGCAGGUACCUUGAGAAUAAGGACCGGCUAAUUCCGUGCCAGCAGCCGCGGUAAUACGGAAGAUCCGAGCGUUAUCCGGAUUUAUUGGGUUUAAAGGGAGCGUAGGCGGACGGUCAAGUCAGCGGUAAAAUCUCGGGGCUCAACCGCGCCCCGCAGUUGAAACUGGGGGUCUUGAGUGCACGAGAGGUAGGCGGAAUUCGUGGUGUAGCGGUGAAAUGCAUAGAUAUCACGAGGAACCCCGAUUGCGAAGGCAGCCUGCCGGGGUGUGACUGACGCUGAGGCUCGAAGGUGUGGGUAUCAAACAGGAUUAGAUACCCUGGUAGUC